UGUUGGAUGCAUGUUUUCUGAGGACAGUCAUUUCUAGGUGGUGCAAAGGGUUGUGUCGGAGGGCAGAUGCCGUCCCUGACCAUUUGUCCAACCUCGUGUUGCAUCACUUGUAUUUCUGUAUCUGAGAAGUGUUUUUAUGUGAUAAAAUUGAAUCUU